GCAGCAGGCGCGAAAACUCUACAAUGCAGGCAACUGCGAUAGGGGAACAUCGAGCGAUACUCAUCUUGGGUGUCUGUCCUCCCGUCUAAAAAACGGGAGUUAGCAAGGGCCGGGCAAGACCGGUGCCAGCCGCCGCGGUAAUACCGGCGGCUCGAGUGGUGGCCGAUAUUAUUGAGUCUAAAGGGUCCGUAGCCGGCUUUGCAAGUCUUUUGGGAAAUCCAGCGGCUUAACCGUUGGUCGUCCGGGAGAUACUACAUUGCUUGGGACUGGGAGAGGUAGGAGGUACUCAGGGGGUAGGAGUGAAAUCCUGUAAUCCUUUGGGGACCACCGGUGGCGAAGGCGUCCUACCAGAACAGGUCCGACGGUGAGGGACGAAAGCUAGGGGCACGAACCGGAUUAGAUACCCGGGUAGUCCUAGCCGUAAACGAUGCUCGCUAGGUGUCACAACAAUCGUGAAUUGUUGUGGUGCCGUAGGGAAGCCGUGAAGCGAGCCACUUGGGAAGUACGACCGCAAGGUUGAAACUUAAAGGAAUUGGCGGGGGAGCAC
rnacentral:rRNA from 1 species